rnacentral:rRNA from 1 species
ACGAGAGGUGCAAGCGUUAUUCGGAAUUAUUGGGCGUAAAGGGCGCGUAGGCGGCUUUAUAAGUUUCUUGUUUAAGACUUCGGCCUAACUGAAGAAAAGCAAGGAAUACUGUAUAGCUAGAGUAUAAUAGAGAGAAGUGGAAUUUUCGGAGUAGCGGUUAAAUGCGUAGAUCUCGAAAGGAACGCCAAUGGCGAAGGCAGCUUCGUGGGUUAUUACUGACGCUGAGGCGCGAAGGCAUGGGGAGCAAACAG